UACGUAGGGUGCGAGCGUUGCUCGGAAUUACUGGGCGUAAAGCACAUGUAGGCGGAUAUGUUAGUUGGAAGUGCAAUCCCCGGGCUCAACUCGGGAACUGCUUCCAAUACUGCGUAUCUUGAGUAUGAUAGGGGAUAGUGGAAUUUCUAGUGUAGGGGUAAAAUCCGUAGAUAUUAGAAGGAACACCGAAAGCGAAGGCAGCUAUCUGGGUCAUUACUGACGCUGAGAUGUGAAAGCGUGGGGAGCAAACAGG
rnacentral:rRNA from 1 species